AAAUUGCACAAGAUUUAGACAAACAUCCACAAAAAAAGCAGCCAACAAAGUACAAGAAGUUAACCUUGAACAACAAACUGAAGGUUUGGGCCAACAUGAGCAAACUCAACAAGCAGAAGGUCUAAAAUUUGCACAAGAACGGCGGUGAUGAGUUGCUAGUGUGGCGAGGGGACCCAAAGACUAAAGAUGUGUAUUUUGAUGACAUCAUACACAUCAUCAAGGAAGAAUCAAUAACCAACAACGUGAUAGAUGCAUAUGGUGAAAUUCUACUUGAACUACAAGGGCUAGUCAACCCAAGUUUGGAGGAUUCAGCAUUCAUCUUUACAAGCACAUGUUUGGUAACCACUAGACUUUUGCUUUG